CAAGUUGCGCCCUAAGCCUUUCGGCCGAGGGCACCUCUGCCUGGGUGUUAUUCA
rnacentral:rRNA from 1 species